AUAUUCCAUUUCUAUUGAUUUUAAGAAAUUUUCUAAACUUUAUAAAGAUUUUGGUUCGCAAAGUUCACUGGGGGUUUCAGAGACUUGAGUAUUUAAAUUACAGUCAAUAAUGUUUUAGGCUUCUAAGUUUACCAUUUAGCCAACGAUCAAUCUCUUCAGUUCCUACUGUAACCCCGAAUUCCCUGUUUAGGGUUUUGUGUUGACGGGCAUUUGGCUCCUCUUUUAGGUUUUUGACACGUUAUCUAUCCAUUAAAAUUCAAUUUGUGCAAAAUUCGAACAAUUUUUGGGUUUCCAAUUCAUUGUUCUGCUAUUGGUUUAUUGAAUUUCAUUUUUGUUUGCAUUCUGAUUCAUUUUUCUCUAGGGCUUUGACACAUCUUCUUUGUCUUGUGGCGUCUAUUUCUUCAAAUUUCUGAGGCAAAAAGAUGGGGAUGAGGGUUUUCAGUAUAUAGUCUUGGAUCUAAUACAUGUUUCCCUGGUAUGUACUUUCAAUUUAUGAGAGAAAUUUAGGGAUUGGUUGAUAAUUUUGAGGAUUUAGAGCUUUUUGAUGCAAUAAUGGGAAAACUGGUGAAUACAUAACCACUCAUACUCAGCAUUGAACUAGACCUACUUCUAGUGACUCCCAUUUAGGUUUUCCCCAUUCAGCCAUGGCUGCUUCCUCUCAAAAGCCAGUUACAAUCCCUUCUAUACCAACCAAGCCUGCCUCAUCCACUGUUCCUACGCCCCCAACUCUCCGACCACCCCCUGCUUUCCCUUCUUACUUGAGCAGCCCAAAUAUCCACCUGAAAAUCAAAACUCUCUGUGAAAUCCUUGUCAAAUGCUCUGUUGGAGAGGUUGAAAUCGCUCUGUCGAAUUCCGGAAUUCAAGUGAAUUCUGAAGAUAUCGAAUCCGUUCUCCGCCUCUCUUAUGCUGCUCCCACUGCUUGUGUGAAGUUUUUCCGAUGGUCUGGUUUUCAAGCGAAGCCAACGCCGUAUGCCUGGAACCUAUUGGUCGAUCUUCUUGGAAAGAAUCGACUUUUUGAGGCAAUGUGGGAUGCCGUUAGGUCCAUGAAGCAAGAGGACCUGCUAUCUUUAGCUACAUUUGCCUCCAUAUUCAGCAGCUAUGUUAAAGCUGAUAAAUGCAGCGAAGCGAUCAUGGCCUUUGACAUAAUGGACCGAUAUGGGUGCCCACAAGAUGUUGCUGCUCUAAAUUCUCUGCUAAGUGCUAUUUGUAGGGACAAUGAGACGGCGAAAGCUUUGGAGUUCUACGACAAAGCGAAGGAGAAGAUAGUGCCAGAUGCUGAUAGCUUUGCUAUUUUAUUAGAGGGUUGGGAGAAAGAGGGCAAUGUGGUCAAGGCCCGACACACUUUUGGGGAGAUGAUAAUUAGGCGCGGUUGGGAUUCGAAGAACAUGUCAGCUUAUGAUGCCUUCUUGACUACUCUGGUCAAGGGUUCAGAAGUUCAAGAGGCCCUAAAGUUUCUCAAGGUGAUGAAGGACAGGAAGUGUUUACCAGGUAUGAAGUUUUUUGAGAACACCAUUGAUAUUCUGAUCAAGCAAAAUAAUCCCAGUGAUGCUUGUUUGCUUUGGGAAAUCAUGGUUAGUAAUGGAGUACUCCCCAAUUUAGUUAUGUAUAAUGCCAUUAUAGAGUUGCUUAGCAAUAACAAUAUGGUCGACCCGGCUUAUAAGUACCUCGAUGAGAUGGUCUAUGAUGGAGCUUUCCCGAAUUCUCAAACUUACAAUCUUAUUUUUCAUUGCCUGGUCAAGAAUAAGAAAGUAAGAGAGGCCACUAAUUUCUUUCAUGAGAUGGUGAAAAAUGAAUUUUACCCCGACCCGCAAAAAUGCACUUUUGCCAUUAAAAUGUUCUUUGAGGAAGAUGACCCAGAAAUGGCAAUCGAGAUUUGGGAAUGUGUUUUUGAGAAUGAGAUACACCCAAUGGAAGAGAGUGCAAACGUAUUGCUUGUGGGGCUUAGAGAUUACGAUAGGCUAUCAGAGGUUAAGAGGUUCAUGGGGAAUAUACUUGACAAAAAGAUCAAAGUAAAUACCUCAACAAUGAGGAAACUAAGAAAUGCUUUUGUGAAGGCAGGAAAGGAGGAUACGUAUGAUUGGAUAGCGAAAAGGUGGGGAGCUCAGUGGGAGGAUUCAAGCCAGUGAGAUUUCCAUUCCUGUUUCUUUGACAACCUUUUCUUUUUUAAAAUGUUUUACAUUUGUAAGAAAGCUCCCAUUAGAGAGAUUGGACUUGGAUCAAGAGCUGAUCUCGGUUGAAGGUUCAAUCCAGAGAGUACAUCAACAGUUAAAGAAAUACAUGCAGUAUAACGGCUUUUUCUCGUUCUCCUCGUUGUGUUGCAAUAAAUGUCUCUCUCUCUCUUUCAGCGGACCUCAACGUAUCUUCUCUGGCUAGAGACUAUUUAUUCAGUGGUUGAUUUUCUUUAGUUUCGGGUUUGCAAGCACAGGAUAAUCUUUCCAAAUUUGAACCGUGAAAGUGGGACCAGCUAUGAUCCAGAUUGGCUAGGACAUUGAUCCAUUAAUUAUGUUCCUCAUUCCUCUUUCGUGAUCAGUUAACUAGUUCAUGUUAUAGGGAUUGGCAAAAAGAGAUGUUGAUAUAGUAGAUUUGAAAUUUGUGUUGUAUUAGCAAAAAUAUGAACAUUUUGUAAGAAAAUAUUCUAUGAAACACUGUAAAUACAAUGUAAGGUACUGGACAUUGCUCAUUUGUGGUUA